rnacentral:rRNA from 1 species
GAUGAACGCUGGCGGCGUGCCUAAUACAUGCAAGUCGAGCGAACGGACGAGAAGCUUGCUUCUCUGAUGUUAGCGGCGGACGGGUGAGUAACACGUGGAUAACCUACCUAUAAGACUGGGAUAACUUCGGGAAACCGGAGCUAAUACCGGAUAAUAUUUUGAACCGCAUGGUUCAAAAGUGAAAGACGGUCUUGCUGUCACUUAUAGAUGGAUCCGCGCUGCAUUAGCUAGUUGGUAAGGUAACGGCUUACCAAGGCAACGAUGCAUAGCCGACCUGAGAGGGUGAUCGGCCACACUGGAACUGAGACACGGUCCAGACUCCUACGGGAGGCAGCAGUAGGGAAUCUUCCGCAAUGGGCGAAAGCCUGACGGAUCAACGCCGCGUGAGUGAUGAAGGUCUUCGGAUCGUAAAACUCUGUUAUUAGGGAAGAACAUAUGUGUAAGUAACUGUGCACAUCUUGACGGUACCUAAUCAGAAAGCCACGGCUAACUACGUGCCAGCAGCCGCGGUAAUACGUAGGUGGCAAGCGUUAUCCGGAAUUAUUGGGCGUAAAGCGCGCGUAGGCGGUUUUUUAAGUCUGAUGUGAAAGCCCACGGCUCAACCGUGGAGGGUCAUUGGAAACUGGAAAACUUGAGUGCAGAAGAGGAAAGUGGAAUUCCAUGUGUAGCGGUGAAAUGCGCAGAGAUAUGGAGGAACACCAGUGGCGAAGGCGACUUUCUGGUCUGUAACUGACGCUGAUGUGCGAAAGCGUGGGGAUCAAACAGGAUUAGAUACCCUGGUAGUCCACGCCGUAAACGAUGAGUGCUAAGUGUUAGGGGGUUUCCGCCCCUUAGUGCUGCAGCUAACGCAUUAAGCACUCCGCCUGGGGAGUACGACCGCAAGGUUGAAACUCAAAGGAAUUGACGGGGACCCGCACAAGCGGUGGAGCAUGUGGUUUAAUUCGAAGCAACGCGAAGAACCUUACCAAAUCUUGACAUCCUUUGACAACUCUAGAGAUAGAGCCUUCCCCUUCGGGGGACAAAGUGACAGGUGGUGCAUGGUUGUCGUCAGCUCGUGUCGUGAGACGUUGGGUUAAGUCCCGCAACGAGCGCAACCCUUAAGCUUAGUUGCCAUCAUUAAGUUGGGCACUCUAAGUUGACUGCCGGUGACAAACCGGAGGAAGGUGGGGAUGACGUCAAAUCAUCAUGCCCCUUAUGAUUUGGGCUACACACGUGCUACAAUGGACAAUACAAAGGGUAGCGAAACCGCGAGGUCAAGCAAAUCCCAUAAAGUUGUUCUCAGUUCGGAUUGUAGUCUGCAACUCGACUACAUGAAGCUGGAAUCGCUAGUAAUCGUAGAUCAGCAUGCUACGGUGAAUACGUUCCCGGGUCU